GAGGGACAGUGGACUCUUCGGGACGUGUGGAGGCUUGCAUGCUCCUAGCCGUUGGCCUAAGUGACACUUGCCUGGACAGUCAAUGACUGACAGAGAGAGAGGGAGAGAGGGAAAGAGAUUAGAGUAGUUGUAGAGAGGUGUAGAAGGUACUGGUCGUGUUGCUUGUUGUUCCAGAACUCUCUGUACACUGUAGUGGAACUUGUGAACAUUCUGGAACUCAUAAAAUGGUCACCCAUUUAGUCUAUUUUGGAUAAAGAGUUGGGAAAAGUGUUUGGAGUCAUCAGGAUCUGUUAUUCCAAGAUGUCUUCUCUGCUUCUCUCUCCUGCGUUCCCCUGUCUGCUCCUAUUGGGAUUGUGCCAGUCACCAUAUACACUACAGAACCAUUCAGAAAGGAAGAUUCAUUCAUUGCUACUAAUAAACUAUUUAUACGUGUGAACGUUUUCCUCUCUCUCUCCCUCCAAGACAUGAUGCUUUCUGUGACAUGUAGGAUUCAUGUUCUGUCUGAUCUUCUGGUAGUGAAUCUUCAUGUCUACAUGUUGUUUGUAGUUGUUCAUGUAGUUGUUACUCAUGUUCAAUGUUGCCUUACUAUGUGCCAGUAUAUUAUCUGAACAGUCUCUAGUUGUAUGGUCUGGAAAUGGAAGGAAGCGUGAGAAGGAGGAGAUGGGAGGACAGAGUCUGUACAAGUACAGGAAGAUGCUUUAUUUUUGUUAAAAAUAUAUAUUAUGCUUACUUAUAUUCAAGCAGGAAGUAUGUUUGUUAUUUCUUUGUUUGUUGUGGUUGAAUGCUUUUAUUUAAACCAUGGAAACGAUGCAGGAAUGGGGGUGGUGAAGUGUACCAGGCCCCAGCAAUGCACCCUGUUUGGUGGUGUAGGGUAGGCUUACAUCAGCAGUGCUGUACUGUAUUAUCUAGAGACGGAUAGAGCUAACCUGGUCCCAGAUCAGUUCGUGUUGUCCUGCAAACACAUAUAGUCAUUGGCAAGGCAGCACAAACCGAUCUGAGAUCAGGUUAGUGGAGAGCUGGCAGAGGAAGACUCCGUCUGGGGCAUCGUUGGACUGUCUCGUUAACCCAGUUAUCUAGCCAAAAGUUACACCCAGUAACCAGAGCGUCAUUAUACACAACAGAACGUUCAGCAUGUGUGUGACCACUUUUAACCCACAUCACACUCCUUUGAUAAGAUGGUGGCCAGUCCGCCCCACCAGCACACAAGCUGUUCUUAACGAGUACAAAGUCCACCUUGAAUGAGAGAGUUUGUGAACAAUUCAACAUGAAUGGUUCCCUAGUUAAUCAAGCAGCAGUCUUCCAUUGACACGUUAACAACGAUGAAGACUGUUCCACUGUUGAUGAGUGAAAGAUUCAAAAAGAAGAUCCCACUGUUUAUGGAGAGAUUGACACCCUAUUUCCCGUACGGUGAAGUGCACUACUUUAGACCAGAGCCACUGGACCAAAAGUAGUGCGCUACACAGGGAAUAGGUUGUCGUUUGGCACACACUGAAUCAAUAGAAAGACCUGGGCACUUUUCCAAAAUGUCUCAGAGUAGGACUGCUGUUCAUCUUAUACAUUAUGAUCUAAACAGCUAAACUGAUCCAAGAUCAGCACUUGAUGAAGUCCUGGGUGAGAGGCAUGUUGAGAGAAAAUAGAUGAGUGAAGAAGCAACAACACUGUAUCUGCAGCUGCUUUGUGUUUGUGGUAACAACAUGUUCAACUGCACCAUACAGACUUCCAAGGUGAUUCCAUUGGUGCUUUAUGUACAAAGGAAGUCAGAAGACGUUUCACCACCAUUUUGACUUCCAAGGUGAUUCCAUUGGUGCUUUAUGUACAAAGGAAGUCAGAAGACGUUUCACCACCAUUUUGACUUCCAAGGUGAUUCCAUUGGUGCUUUAUGUACAAAGGAAGUCAGAAGACGUUUCACCACCAUUUUGACUUCCAAGGUGAUUCCAUUGGUGCUUUAUGUACAAAGGAAGUCAGAAGACGUUUCACCACCAUUUUGACUUCCAAGGUGAUUCCAUUGGUGCUUUAUGUACAAAGGAAGUCAGAAGACGUUUCACCACCAUUUUGCAACGCUUUCAUUUAUUCAUUCAUUGUCGAGGGACCAGGGACCAUCGCUUACAGUAACUAAAGAAACUACAACAACACAAGCUUAUGACAUUUUUUAUUUGGGCCUCUAUUGGAUAAAAACAGCAAUGAUUAUAAUUUAUAUAUUUAUGUUUUCAAUAAUAAAUACAUUCUGCUUAUCAAACUGUA